rnacentral:ncRNA from 2 species
UAAGAUACAUUUAGCUUUGGCCACAAUA